rnacentral:lncRNA from 1 species
CCCCCACUGUGGUACAAGGGAGCCCACACACAGCUGGCCCCCCACUGUGGUGCACGGGAGCCCACACACAGCUGGCCCCCACUGUGGUGCACGGGAGCCCACACACAGCUGGCCCCCACUGUGGUGCACGGGAGCCCACACACAGCUGGCCCCCACUGUGGUGCACGGGAGCCCACACACAGCUGGCCCCCACUGUGGUGCACGGGAGCCCACACACAGCUGGCCUCCACUGUGGUGCACGGGAGCCCACACACUGGACGUACAGACUCCAUCCAGUCCUGCAGCACUUACAGGCUGGUAACUUUACCUCCUGAGCCUGUUUCUUCACCAGUGAAGCCACUGUCCUGCAAUGAAGAACUCCUGGAGGUCCUCUUUGACAGGAGACAAGGCAUUCUAACCCGGCACCCAGCAAAGGCUAGCAAACCCAUAGAUGGGCUGAGAACCCUGGAGUUUUCUCCCAGGGUCUUCCUCUCCCAAAUGACAGCUCACCUCGUUCACAUCAUGGCUGCGCAUGCACUGAAGUUGCUGGCACCGCAUAGACCUUCACCACCCACGAGAGGAGGAAUGCUUGGCAAUGUGGUCUGCAGUCGCCCCUGCCUGGUCCAGAUUGCCUGUGGAAUUCUGCUGCUCCCAGAAGCAGGUCUGCCCGAGGUCCUAAGGCCCCACCCAUGGCAGGUGUAGCUUCUGCAUGCUGUUCUGUGCUGAGUAGACCGGUCUUAUGGUAUGGUCAUAGGGUCCCACACCUCAGGGUCAGGGCCACUCAGGCUUGUCUCCGCCCCCAGAGAAGCCAUUCCCCACUAGAGAGAAGCUUGAGCCUAUUGUCACUUGCUCCCCCUACUAUGACAAUCAAGCCAGCUUGGGACUUUGCAUUGCAGACAGCCCUCCAGAUAGCCCAAAGAGGGACCUUCCUCCAGCCUGGGCUCAGCAAGUGGGUGCCAGGACGAGAGAGGGGUUAGACCUGGGAAACAUGACUUUCAAACCGUACACUGCUAGGACUGUGCACCUACCCGCCGAUAAAACCCAACAUGUACAUGGCAGUUUACAGAUUGUGAGGCUCUGUGGGACAUGUGUACAAUUACUGCAUAUAAAAUAUUCACCAAAAAGCCGGGUGUGGCAGCUCAUGCCUGUAAUCUUAACACUUGGGAGUCUGAGGCCAGACUGCUGUGAGUUCUAGGUCAACUUGGUCUCCAUAAUAUAGUCUCCACAGUACAUACCAGGCCAACUAGUGCAAGACUCUAUCUCAAAGAAACAAGCAAAACAAAAGCCGUGUACCUCGGCCUUGCACAGCUCAAGGGAUUGAGCUAAGUGGGGUAGCCAGGGGAUGAAGAAACGAUAAACACAGACAGACACACAGACGCAGAAAAGUUGGGAUCCAGUGGACUGGGCUCUGGUGGAGAAGGCAUAGCACCCAGAAGCUUGGCUUUUAACUGUAGACAAUCGAACAGGGAGGCGGGGUUAUUGUCUACACAUGAACAGGGAGGCGGGGUUAUCACACACAGCUGAACGGGGAGGCGGGGUUAUCACAUACAGCUGACCAGGGAGGCGGGGUUAUCACACACAGCUGAACGGGGAGGCGGGGUUAUCACACACAGCUGAACGGGGAGGCGGGGUUAUCACAUACAGCUGAACGGGGAGGCGGGGUUAUCACACACAGCUGAACGGGGAGGCGGGGUUAUCGCACACAGCUGAACGGGGAGGCGGGGUUAUCACAUACAGCUGAACGGGGAGGCGGGGUUAUCACAUACAGCUGACCAGGGAGGCGGGGUUAUCGCAUACAGCUGACCAGGGAGGCGGGGUUAACUAAUUUCUGUAGGGAGUGGUCUUCAGGCUGUAAACGUGGCGGCUGAGAGAGUUAUGGUGGGUAUUUUCUGCACACACUGUCAACAUUCACACUCGGUCCCUAGGUAGGCUUUACUGUCCCUCGUGCUGGGGGAGGUUUUGCCAUUCCCAUGGGACUGAGGCAUUGGUCCUUGACACAGCUGUCCCCGUGUGCCCAACAAGCACAUUCACACGCUCCUACAGCCACGAGUGGCGGUGUGCCUCCAGCAUAUGAGGUGAAGACAGAAGGGUAAGAGACUGCUAGUUACACAGUUCGAGGCUGGUCUGGGGUAUAUAACACCCUGUCUCUACCCUCCCAAUACAAAAUAACACUAUGAAUAAAAAGGCAUUAGGAUUAGCAUUAAGGAGAGUGUGACUGGGCUGGAAUGACGGCUCAUCGGUUGAGAAUAUGGCUUAAAUGUGAAGUGCAGAAUCCUGUCCAGCCCCUGGUCAUUCUGCAAUCCCACCUGGAGAACAAUGCUGAGGAAAUGCCCUGGGGACUCCAACUGUGCAGAGUCUUGAUGCCUUCUGCUUGGGCCCAUCUGCCAGCUCAAACUCCAAUCUCCUUCUUCCCAGAGAUCCCCAGACUCUGCCACUGCGACAAAUGUCACUGCUGAUGGAUCCAGGGACCAAGAGGGAGGCUUAAGGUGGCCACUGUCCAUCUUCUGCCAGACUGCCAGAGGAAGAGAGGUGACAGCU